GACAGAGGAUGCAAGCGUUAUCCGGAAUGAUUGGGCGUAAAGCGUCUGUAGGUGGCUUUUAAGUCCGCCGUCAAAUCCCAGGGCUCAACCCUGGACAGGCGGUGGAAACUACCAAGCUGGAGUACGGUAGGGGCAGAGGGAAUUUCCGGGUGGAGCGGUGAAAUGCGUAGAGAUCCGGAAGAACACCGGUGGCGAAGGCGGUCUGCUGGGCAGUAGCUGACACUGAGGCGCGACAGCGUGGGGAGCAACAGG
rnacentral:rRNA from 1 species